CUCUCUCUCCCAACCCCUCCUUUCUCAACCCCCACCGCCAGACUCCUCAUCUCGUCCGUCACCACCGCAAGUAGGAGUUAUGAGAAGAAGAAAAAAGGAGAACUGAUGGAAAAUGCUCAGAUCUAUCUCUCCCUCAGUUAACCUCAUAUAUGAACUCGUGAUGCCAAAUCCCCAGGAUCUUUCAAACCCAGCAGAAAAUUGAGCCAAGAAGUUUCGAUAUUUCUCAACAAAUUAAACACACUAAGAAUCCGUAACAGAUCGAAAUCGAACCCACUCACUUCGGUUCUGCUUCUAGAUUUGGUCAAUUUCCUGCUUUUUGGGUACUAGAUUUCCGGUCUCGGAAACUUGUAUAUCAACUCAUGCAUUACAAACCUACGAGUAUAUCUGUUUUGCUUCUUCUGUGAGAUUAGUGUUUGAAUCGGACGAGUUGGCUCUGCCCCAUGGAUUUGGUGGUAUUAAGGAAUUCAAAUGGACCGGAGAUUUGGUUGUAUUGGUGGCAGGAGAUGUAGUGGUAUUGGGAAUUGAAAG